CGCAUCUGUGCAUGCAGCAUAUCAAUAAGCGGAGGAAAAGAAACUAACAAGGAUUCCCUUAGUAACGGCGAGUGAAGCGGGAAGAGCUCAAAUUUGAAAUCUUCAAGGUUUUACCUUGACGAAUUGUAGUUUAAAGAAGUGUUUUCUGUUGAAGUUUUGGUAAAAGUUCUUUGGAAUAGGACAUCAUAGAGGGUGAGAAUCCCGUAUUUGACCAUUAUUUUCAGCUGUGUGAUACACUUUCAAAGAGUCGGAUUGUUUGGGAAUGCAGUCCAAAAUGGGUGGUAAAUUUCAUCUAAAGCUAAAUAUUGGCGAGAGACCGAUAGCGAACAAGUACCGUGAGGGAAAGAUGAAAAGAACUUUGAAAAGAGAGUUAAACAGUACGUGAAAUUGUCAAAAGGGAAGCGUUUGACACCAGUGUUGUUUUCUCGAAAAUCAAUUAAAAAGAGUUUGAUUUUGUUGUGUAUUGACCUUAACAGCUUGCAUUUCAAUUUUCUUGCUUUUUUUAAUGCACUUUUCGUUUAACAAGUCAACAUCAGUUUCUUUUGUUGUAAAGAGGUCAUUGGAAGGUGGCUUUCUUUUCGGAGAAAGUGUUUAUAGCCUUUGACUCCUGCAAUCGGAGAGACUGAGGUCUGCAGCGUAGAUCCUUCGGGGUUAGAUACAUUUGUGCUAAGUUAUAGCUUUUUAUAGACAACUUGUUGACUAUGAUUAGUCUUGUAGCUUACUCGCUUAUGCUAUUUUACCUACGCUUAGGAUGUUGAGCGCAUGUCUCUCUCU
rnacentral:rRNA from 1 species